GUAGGGAAUAUUGGGCAAUGGUCGGAAGACUGACCCAGCCAUGCCGCGUGCAGGAAGACGGCCCUCUGGGUUGUAAACUGCUUUUAUCUGGGAAGAAAAAGGCCAUGCGUGGCAAAUUGCCGGUACCAGAUGAAUAAGCACCGGCUAACUCCGUGCCAGCAGCCGCGGUAAUACGGAGGGUGCGAGCGUUGUCCGGAUUUAUUGGGUUUAAAGGGUGCGUAGGAGGCUGAGUAAGUCAGCGGUGAAAGACUUCGGCUUAACCGGAGCAGUGCCGUUGAUACUGGUUGGCUUGAGUGUCGGAGGGGUACAUGGAAUUGAUGGUGUAGCGGUGAAAUGCAUAGAUACCAUCAGGAACACCGAUAGCGAAGGCAUUGUACUGGCCGACAACUGACGCUGAUGCACGAAAGUGUGGGGAUCGAACAGGAUUAGAAACCCGAGUAGUCC
rnacentral:rRNA from 1 species